CUUUGCAAAAUAAGAAUUUGUUGACACAUUUUUCAUCCUUUAUGAACUGAAUAAAAGCUAACAACUGGGCUUUGCACUAAUGUCAGUGGAUUCAUCCACUUGAAGGGACCACAACAGAGACAGUUCAUCGUCAGUCAUUUCGAAGUGUUCGAAGAUUUGAUCUUGUAAAUCUGACAAUAAGUCUUCAAUUCUGCGCAAGAUAGUACUAUUUGACAAAGGAACUUUUUUAACUUUUUCGGCAGCAUCGGGUCCAAGGAUAGUUUCAACAACUAUUGCUAAAGCUGGUGCAAUGACUGAUUCAGCCUCUGUGUGUUCUUUCUUGCAUUUGCUAAUAACUGAACAACCUUAUAAAUUGCAAUUAAUCCCUUUUCUGAAAGCUUUAGGUAGUUCGUAAGUUUCUUAGCUUGUUUAUUUUGUUGAGCCCUGAUGUUUUCGAAGUAUUCCUUCAGUUGCGCUUUUACAGCUGGAUGUUUUGUUUCCAAGUGUCUCUUCAAUUUGCUUGGAACAAGCGCCUCAUUCAACAGAGCUGAAUUGCAGAUCAGACAGAAUGACAAUGGAGAAUCUUCAGGUCCUGAAGAUAUGAAACCAUAUCCGAUGUAAUCUUCUUUGUACCUUUGUUUGGUUCCAUGCUUUUCAUUGAACGCUUUCGCAGUUUCAUUCUUACCAACGUAUUUCUCCAUGGAUAACAAUGAUUAAGGCUUAGUAAUAAUUUGUUAUUAUUAGCAUACACCUACAAAAUUUACAUGAAACACAUCGCUUAUUAUUAUCGUUACCAAUAAAAGAACUGCUAAGGCGGCCUACAUUUGAGUCAUUAUAAUAAUAUAUGUAUAGUGGACAACUCCAUAACCUGAAGAGCUAACACCCCUUUCCGUCAUAAUGUAGCGAUCCACUACUAUUACUGGUCGUUGCAAGCUGGGAUGUCGUCACAAGGUAAAAUAAAAAUUUAAUAGUAGGCAAACCUGUGUAACGCUGCACGUGUGGCAUUCUGACAACUCCUCGGCACACCUGCAAAUCUUCGGCGGCACACAGUUUGAGAAACACUGCCCUAGACAAUAAUAAAUAUUGACUAUUCAAUCUGAUUCUACAUUUAUGUCAAACAAUAUUAUGAAUAUAGUAUAGAUGUCUAGAUAUGCUAACUUAAAUAGUUAGAAUAUAGAUCUAGAAUCUAGUCUAGAUUAGUUAUUAGUAGAUCUAGAUCUAAUCUAGGUCUAACAAUAAAAUUGAUUCGGAAUACCUUGAACUCAUCCUUUGUGAUUGUGUAAGCACUUUCAGUAGAACAAGAUUAUAAGUGAAGAGAUCUGGAUAACACAAGGAGGGCAGCAAAUCAUUUUCUUUAUUACGCUGGCUUGCUUUCAAAGUGUGGCGAUUUUAUUGUUUACCAUGGAGUUGUCUACUUUUCAAAUUUUACUGACCAAGUUUUUUACAGUGACUGAUCCAUCAGCAGUUUCCGAAGCAGUAACUGAUAUCUCAAAAAAAUAUUGCUUUAUUGAUGGUGUCUGGUCACCUCAGAGGAUCAACAGGAUUUGUUCAUUGAAAGACACUUGAAGGUGUAGGCAGUUAAAGCAAAGGACUUCUUGCAAUGUUUGUUUCAAGGACCAGACACAACAGAAUUUGACAACAUAUGUAUUGGAAGCUCAAAAUCAGAAACUGAAAUCUGCCCAUGUGGAUGUUGACCAUCUUCUCCAAAACUGCUCUCUUUACCAAGAGGCUGUACAUGACACUGGCCCCAAAACACCCCAAUAGAAAGGAAACUAUAUGGAGAGUUCCCUGAUUUGGAAACGCUGUGAAAAUAAUCUCAUAUACUGGUCCAGUCAUCUGAAUGCUCCAAUAAAAAAAUGAGAAGGAAGAAGAAAGAAGAUUGGGAGCAACAUGGCUAUUGAAAAGCAGAGACCAUACAAACCUCAUUAGAUGAAGAGUUUUAUUUUGUUGGUAAAGUCCUUGGUUUUGAGCCAGCAGAGAAACAUAGAAAGCUCUAUUUUGACAAUAUAUAAAGAGUGACUUUAGCUCAACUCCUCACCAAGCUUUACAGUCUGUGACAUUUUUUUGGUAAAACUUUUAAUCAGAUUUGUGUGUGUAUACUUAAUUAUGUUAGCUACAUUUAUCAAGAAUACUCAAUUCAUAAAAAGAAGCUGCUUUAAAGGAUUAAAGAUAACUUUGACCCUUUUGAGAAAACAAAUUUAAACACAAGAUUUUGAAUUAAUUUUGUAAUUCUUUUAUAUUUUUUUUUUUCUGAAAGCCACAUAACGACACAAGUAUUUAUUCAAGGUUUUGAAUGUAUGGUAUACUGUUAGGUUUAGUAUUGAGUCAUUCAGUAAAUUGUUUUUGUUUUGUGGUUUUUAUAAAUUAAUAAAUGGAAGUUUAUAUAAUGUGUUAUGUUUAAAUGUAUGAUUUUUUUUUACUGAUCUAAAGAAAGAAACUUGAGGAUUUUAAUUUUUAUUCCUUUUGAAACAUGUAAGGAAUAUUAGAACAUUGGUUGGCAACAUUAUUAGUGUAAAAAUGUAUUUCACUUGGUAGCCAAGAAUGCUUAUAACUGAGAUGACAUCACUACCUGUGGUUAACAAGGGUGCCAUGUUGUCAGCACAAUAACCAGCCGCCUUUACUUUUCCUAACUCAUAUAAUAAUAAUAAUAAUAAUAAUAAUCUUUAUUAUCCUUAAGGAAAUUUGUCUUACAAUUUGUGCAUUACACCAAACAAAAAACAUUAUAACUAUAAGAAACCAAAGUGUACAUUCACACCAGACUCACUCAUAAUUUACAUGUGACAAAGUUUAUACCAGAUUGUUCUUAUUUAAUGAUUUGAUUGCCAGGGGAACAAAAGAGUGUUUGUGUCUGUUUGUCUUUGCUAUCGGUGUCUUGUAUCUCUUUUGUGAUGGUAAAAUCACAAAAUCCUGACACAAAGGGUGAUUCUUUAUUUCGAGGAUCUUGUUAGCUUUUUUAUAGAUGUUUGUCUCAAACAACUGCCCAAAUGGGGUUUGUUUUUUGCCAAUGAUUUUGCCAGCAGCAUUUAGGAUUCUAUGAAGUUACCCAUUAGAGCUGGGUGGACUCGAAGGCACCAUAAAGAUCCCAAAAUUAAAAAUACCCGUCUUCACCAGGAUUUGAACCCAGGGUCCUCCUGUUUGGAAGUCAAGUGCUUUACCACUCAGCCACAUGCCUCCGUUAAAGGCUAGAUUUUGUGACAAUUAUUUUUAGGAGAGAGAAUGAUGUAUGCACAAAGUUGUAGCUUUUUUUUUAUUUUUAUUAAAUUUAUUUGUAUUUAACCACUGACUUAUUCAUCUCUGAAUUGUCCAAUUUAAGUUUGUAAUCAGUUAGUGUUGACCUUGGCUUGAUAGGCUAAAAGGAUUAACAAUAAUAAUAAUAAUAAUUAUAGCUUGUAUGUAGUGCUACUUUCAUGCUUACAGCAUGCUCAGAGUGCUGUGUUCCAAUCUUAUGUGUGGACCAGUAGGGGGGGGGGAUUUGGGAGAGGGUUUUCCGUGCUGCCUUCGGGUACUCAGUAAACAGAACUCUGCUUGAGUCGUGUGUUGAACCUAGAGUCACCUUGAUAGGUAGCCGAGCCAAGCCAAGUUCAAGCAUACUUAGCCUCUUGACCACGCCUCCACAUUGAAUUUAAAUUGUAAAUGUUAAAUAUUUUUAAAAAUUUAAUACAGAAUUUGAUAUUUAUGAAAUAUUUAAUACAGAAUUUGAUAUUGAUGAAAAAUUUAAUACAGAAUUUGAUAUUGAUUACAAAAAAUAAUACAGAAUUUGAUAUUGAUACCAUUUCAUUUGUGUGUGUGUGUGUUUCCAAUAAUAUUUCUAUGAAUGUACAAUUUAUUCUCUAGAUAAAGAUUCAUUUUCUGUUUUGUAAGGCAGCUCUCAAUCCUCAGUGUUAUGAACAUAAUGAUAACAGAGUCGAAAACCAUGUCCGCUUAGUAUGGCUUUAAUACACUGAAUGACUACACAACACACAUUUUGUGAACACAUUCUUACGGACGAGUUACAAUCACAUGUAAACAUAAGAACGAAAACCGAUACAGCAUAUAAUUUUCAUAAGUGAAAUUCUAAAUUUACUGAACUAAACAGACU